UACGGAGGGAGCUAGCGUUGUUCGGAAUUACUGGGCGUAAAGCGCGCGUAGGCGGCUUUGUAAGUUAGAGGUGAAAGCCCGGGGCUCAACUCCGGAACUGCCUUUAAGACUGCAUCGCUUGAAUCCGGGAGAGGUGAGUGGAAUUCCGAGUGUAGAGGUGAAAUUCGUAGAUAUUCGGAAGAACACCAGUGGCGAAGGCGGCUCACUGGACCGGUAUUGACGCUGAGGUGCGAAAGCGUGGGGAGCAAACCGG
rnacentral:rRNA from 1 species